rnacentral:rRNA from 1 species
UACGGGAGGCAGCAGUAGGGAAUCUUCCGCAAUGGACGAAAGUCUGACGGAGCAACGCCGCGUGAGUGAUGAAGGUUUUCGGAUCGUAAAACUCUGUUAUCAGGGAAGAACAAGUAUCGGAGUAACUGCCGGUACCUUGAAAGUACCUGACCAGAAAGCCACGGCUAACUACGUGCCAGCAGCCGCCCU